GUAGGUGAACCUGCGGAAGGAUCAUUAUUGAAAUAAACCUGAUGGGUUGUUGCUGGCUCUCUAGGGAGCAUGUGCACGCCUUGUCAUCUUUAUAUCUCCACCUGUGCACCUUUUGUAGACCUUGGAUAUUUUUUCAUGGUCUAUGUUGCUUCAUUUACCCCCAAUGUAUGUUAAUAGAAUGUUUGUGCCUAUAAAAUUUAUACAACUUUCAGCAACGGAUCUCUUGGCUCUC
rnacentral:misc_RNA from 1 species